rnacentral:rRNA from 1 species
GACGAACGCUGGCGGCGUGCUUAACACAUGCAAGUCGAACGGAAAGGCCCUGCUUUUGUGGGGUGCUCGAGUGGCGAACGGGUGAGUAACACGUGAGUAGCCUGCCCUUGACUUUGGGAUAACUUCAGGAAACUGGGGCUAAUACCGGAUAGGAGCUCCUGCUGCAUGGUGGGGGUUGGAAAGUUUCGGCGGUUGGGGAUGGACUCGCGGCUUAUCAGCUUGUUGGUGGGGUAGUGGCUUACCAAGGCUUUGACGGGUAGCCGGCCUGAGAGGGUGACCGGCCACAUUGGGACUGAGAUACGGCCCAGACUCCUACGGGAGGCAGCAGUGAGGAAUAUUGCACAAUGGGCGGAAGCCUGAUGCAGCAACGCCGCGUGCGGGAUGACGGCCUUCGGGUUGUAAACCGCUUUCGCCUGUGACGAAGCGUGAGUGACGGUAAUGGGUAAAGAAGCACCGGCUAACUACGUG